rnacentral:lncRNA from 1 species
AUAUAGGUCUCGAAAUUAUAAUCGAUUGUGUGUAUGUCAAAAUGCAUAACUUUAGCAUACUGAUUCUUUUAGCCACCGUUUGGUUCGGGAUUAAGUAAAAACUUGUUAUUCCAGGGAUAAAGUUAAAUUCAGAGUUAAAGUGAGGUUAGAGUAAUUUUAUGUUUGGUUGAGAAUUGGGUUUAGUCCAGAUAUAGAUAAAAUAAUGUUUGAUUGGAGUAGGUGGGAUAAAAAGGAUAGUGGGUAAAAUAGUAUUUUGUUUGGUUGGAGUAGUGAGGUGGGGUGAGAUUAGCUAACCCCACCUCCCAAAUUGGGUGUUUGAAAAUAACUUCGGGGUUAAGGGGUUAUUCCACCCCUUAACCCCGAACCAAACGGGUGCUUAUAAAUCAAAUAAUGAUUGUUUCUAUAUCACUAUUUUUCAUAUUUAUUUGAUUUCAAAAGGAUAAACUUCUACAAAUUAUAGUU